CUUCAGAAAACGUAAUACAUCUCUAAGCCAUUUAAAAGUUUUCUUCUUUCUUCUGUCUGUAAUAUAAAGCAGUUCCCACCCUCUUGACAUUAUAGACUAAAUGAUUCAGAUCUAUUGGCUCUUGGUUGUGGAAAAAUCUGCCUGGAGGUCAGUUGUGGUUCAUACCACAAGCAGCCAUCCUUUUUUUCACUCGGCAUAACUUCAGGCUGCAUUUGUAAAUGGACACAAUAUCUUUACUUUCAGCUGCAAUUCAUUAAAGGUCUGCGUGGAGUCGUACGCAAAGUAGAAGCACUUCUGCGUGCUUCAUGCAUGCAGUGGACUGUCUGUGAAAGUCAGCUGGCCCCUGUUCUCUCCAAGCAAAAAGUAAAAGAGAUGACAACAAUUUAAAGGAGGCCAGAACAGAGAAAUACUGAGAGAGAAUCACGGGAUAGUUUGGGUUAGAAGGGACCUUUAAAGGUCAUCCGGUCCAACCCCCAACCUAGAACCUAGAUGAGGCCAUUGCUGCGGCUCUGAUGGUAACGCCAUAUGAACACCUUCCUGCGUGAUGGAAAAGCAGCAAAUCAUUCCAGCCUAGAAACUGCUUUAGUAGUGUUAGAGGAGUUCUGCUGGGUCCCCAAAACUCUCUUCUCAAAUUGGAAAAGUGUUUCUCCCUGCCUCCCAUUUCCUGUACACAACAGUUGGACUUCAGUAAUCAUGACUUUUCUAUUUCUUUUCUGAUUUACAAGCCCACAUGAGGUCUUUUGGAUUUAUUAUGCAUGGACCAAAGUGUAUGUGGGAAUGAAUGAUGAUCCAUCUUUUUUUUCUUUUUUUUUUCUUGUACUAAACAGUUUGGGGGGUUUUGAUUCUUUAGUUUUUAACAGACGUAUCUUUUUCCUUUUGACAACUGUCUGAAAUAUGUUCCUUUAAGAACCUCCUACAUGGUAUGUAGUUGCAAUUUGUAAACACAAUAUGUCAAAGAAUGAUUUGACUCUGUGAUGAGGCAGCCAGCUAUUUGCAUGUCAUGAGGUCUAAGGGAAACAAACUGACCCUCAGCCUUCCUCCAUCCAGCCAAAUUCUGAUGGGACCCUCAAAUAGCUCUGGCAAAGCAUUCUGUUUCUUUUGGACUUGAUGAAUGCUUGUUUCUGUGAAGUCGUGUAAUUAUUUCUUCCUUUAUUUUGCUGCACAAGUUACCAAGAGAAGCAGCUUAAAACCAAAUGUACCUGUUUAGUACGGAACAGCCCAGCAUUAGAAAUCCAGGGCACUGCAAAUGACCAAGAAACGCCUGUCCUAACUUUCACAGAUCACGUGGAGAGCAUCUCCAGAAUGACCAGCAGUAACACAGACUGCCACUACUGCCUGCAGUCUCUUCGUGGAAGGAAGUAUGCAUUAAGAGAAGAAAAUGCUUAUUGUGUUUCGUGUUAUGACAGCCUGUUUGCCAACCCCUGUGAAGAGUGCAAGCAACCUAUUGAGUGCGAUUCCAAGGAUCUGGCCUACAAAGGCCGCCACUGGCAUGAGCGGUGCUUCAAGUGCACCAAAUGCCAUCGCUCGCUGGUGGAGAAACCGUUUGCUGCCAAGGACGAGCUCCUGCUGUGUACUGAAUGCUACUCUGAUGAGUAUUCAUCUAAGUGUUUCCACUGCCAGAAGACCAUUAUGCCUGGCUCCCGUAAAAUGGAAUUUAAGGGAAGUUCCUGGCAUGAAUCCUGUUUCGUUUGCCAAUAUUGCCGGCAACCAUUGGGAACAAAACCACUGAUCACCAAAGACAAUGAGAAUUACUGUGUGCCCUGUUUUGAGAAGCAAUUUGCUCACCAUUGCUACUCUUGCAAAAAGGUAAUAACUUCCGGGGGAGUGACCUACCAUGAUCAGCCUUGGCAUAAAGAAUGCUUUGUGUGUGCUGGGUGUAAAACCCAGCUGUCUGGACAAAGGUUUAUUUCCAAAGAUGAAUAUCCAUACUGUGUAGACUGUUUCAGCAAAUUGUAUGCUAAGAAGUGUGCUGCUUGCAAGAAACCUAUUACAGCUCUCGGAGGUCCCAAAUUUAUCUCAUUUGAAGAGCGCCAGUGGCAUGGGGAAUGCUUUAACUGUGCAAAAUGCUCUAUCUCGCUGGUGGGCCAAGGAUUCCUCACUCGGCAGGAUGAUGUCCUUUGUCAUGAAUGUGGCUCUGCUUCGUAGUUCUGUGGAGAGCUGUACAGUUGCACGAUUCUCGCUCUGUAACCAUGUACUUCAUUACUCUGCAGUAAAAAAGUAAUCUAGAAAGUAUAACAGUUAUUUAGCCAUUCAAGUAGCUUUCCAACAGCAGUUUAAUUCUAUCAUAGUUCUCAAGUGCUUGUAAAAAUUUUUUAACAGCCCCAAACUGGCUAAGAAAAUAACACAGAAAAGAUUCGUAUUUUAAACAUAACUACGGUAUGUUUCUCCCUGUAACACACUGCACUCUGCUGUUAGAAGCUUAAAAAUUUAGCUCUCAUCUCCCGUGAACAGAGGAGGAUUGUGAAAAGUCUAUAUGGCAUAUGACUAAUGAUGAGGCAUUAGCACUGCCUCACAGACGCAGACCUUGGUGUGGAAAGCUGGGCACGUGCAUUUUUCUAUUGGUUCGUAACAUUGAUGAGAACGACUUGUAGAUAUCAACUUCAUAUUUCGGGCAAAAAAAGCUGCUGACAAAGCAGGCAGAAAGCGGGAGGAGGAGAUAUUUUUAUACAUAGGGCCACUGAGUCAGAGAUGCCCAUCCCAGGGACAGAUAAAGGGAGAAAAGGUUAUUUUCCUCUCCUUACUGAGAUUGCUCCUCAGAAAUGUAGUCUUUAGUCAUCAAACAAACUGAGUGACAGGUCCUUUCCCACAAUUGGUUAACUAUACUUAAUUUUUCAGGCGUAACUGCUUUAAAACAUAAAUAGACCCAUAUUUUGAGCUACUGUAGAGGUAAGGAUUGCCCAAGCUUGGGUAGUGCUGAUGUACACUUUCCAAUAGCUAGUAUACCUUAAGACUCUGUCUCCUUUGUCUUCACUAGACCUUCAAAUACACGCAUAAAAUAUAUUUUUAUUAGUACAGACAAGCGCCAACUCAUACUUGUCCCUUUAACCUUGUACUUUCCUCCCCCCAGAGCCCAUUUCCCAGCAAUCAAAACACAGUUAAUGGCCUUAUCUUUUCCACCUUGCUACGUCUUUUGAUCCACAGUCUAUCACUUUUCCUGUAAGUGCCUGCUUGCCUAUGGCAGGCUAUAAGCUCUUCAGCAUCAAUACCCCAUGCGUUUUGCCAUGUGCCACACACAUUUGCCGAUAUUAUGUCAAGAAUUGGUAAUGUUGUCACUGCAAGGUAGGCAGUCCUCGCUUGUAGUACAAGGUAUUCAUUUCUAGGUAGCUGGCUUUGAGAAGUUUAUAUCUGUUUGCUGAGCUUCAGCGCUCAAGUGUCUAUUAUUAAAGGUCAUCUAGACCCGAGUUACAAGCAUUUCUCUUACUUCUUCCAUACUGUAUGCUACAACGACCUGAUUUGUGUUGCAGUGUCUGUACCAGGCUGUUGUGAGCAGUGCAGUGGUACGAAGGACGUCAGAUUCUGCACCACUCAGAACUGUUUUAGUCCUCAUCUCGCAUGUCUUUAAGUCGUACAUUCUCCUUUAGACUCUGACCUUAAGUGCAUAGUUAUUUGGUUGACUUGAGCGGGCUUUACUCAUACUGAAGCCAACCAUUACUUUAGGUAGAAAAAUGAAAAAAAGAGAAAAAAAAAAAAAAAAGAAUAUGCAUGCAUAGCUAAGCCAGAACUGAACUGCAGAACUGCAGUGGCAUAAAAUCAAUAAUGGAUAAUGACUGACCAACAAGUACAUAGCGGUCUGUUUUCUAGUCAAUAAAAUAUUGAUCUUUUGCUCUACGUGGUGUUCAUUUUUGUUUUUCAGUUUCUUCUUUCAUGGCAGCUUUUAUUGCAGUCUGGAGUUUGAUUAGUUUAUGCCUUUUCAUUUUAUCCCAGCUGCCUCCAUUUCUAUUUUCACAUUUCACAUGGAUGAUACAGGUUCUUGGUAAGACUUGGAUUCCCAUAAAUAGAAAUAUGUUUCAUUGCCUUAAAUAUAUAUGCGCACACACACAUAUAGCGGUUCACAGUUAUGUAUGAUGUUCUAAAAACGUGUACCAAGUUAUCAGAAAUUAGCCCAUUAGUAAAUGUUAAUUGACUUAAAUUUUUAAACAAAAAUGAUGACUCACCAGGUGCAGGCUUGUCUGUGGGGUGUACCUUUUGUUUGUGUUGUGUGAAAUAACAUUCAGCAAAGUGCAAGAAUGUGGUUUGGGCCCUUUAUUCAGUCUUGUCUGAACAAUAUCCCAGCUUAGUUACAAACUGACGCAAGAAUGACCAGGCAGAGUCCUAAGACAUGACAGAGUCACAGGUCAGACACGUUGAUCAUGAUGAUCACAAUCUUCAAGCCUUAACAUUUAGGAAAAUGAAAUUCUUCUCUGACUCAUCAACUAAUUAUAUUUUUAGAAAUACCAACUGAAUUAUUUAUUCCUCCUGCAGUAAAUACACUAUAGUCAAAUCUGAAACUGAGCUUUUUCACUUGAAAGUGAUAAUAAGAAAUAAUUGUGACUGCUAUAAAUAGUUUGGAUAAAAGUUAUGUUAGAUAUCAGAUUGAUAUUUCCUAGUCUCAAUCACCAGCUACCAAUGUAUAAACACAAAUACAGUAAUACUCUGCACAAUUUGGGUCAGCUAUGCUCAUGUAGAUGAAAGCCAACUUAAAUAGGUGCAGAGAAGGCUACGAGAAGGAACAGCGCAUCUCUGUGGAGGACUGUAGUUCAUGGAGGGGAUUAGGCAGCUUCUACAAGCCAAGAGACUACAUUUGGUUCAAGAAGAAAGCCAAGUAAACUCAUCAGGACUGGAAAUUGGAAAUUAGAAGGCUGAUGCUCCUGCUGCUACUGAGCAGCGAUGCUCCAGGAGACCCUCUUUCCAGAACCAAGAGCAGAGCAACUAUGUGUCCUCACAGGAGCUCCUUGAAGAUGAGGCCAGACAGAGAUGCCAGGCAGUGAGGCCAGACGGAGAUGAGGCGUCCCUACAGCACAGUCACACAGACAUCCACAAUGGCCA